rnacentral:misc_RNA from 1 species
CCAAUAGCGUAUAUUAAAGUUGUUGCAGUUAAAAGCUCGUAGUUGAAUUUCGGGGUUAGUAGGUUGGUCAUGCCUCUGGUAUGUACUGGUCUCACUGAUUCCUCCUUCCUGAUGAACCUUAAUGCCAUUAAUUUGGUGUUUUGGGGAAUUUGGACUGUUACUUUGAAAAAAUUAGAGUGUUUAAAGCAAGCUAACGCUUGAAUACAUUAGCAUGGAAUAAUGAAAUAGGACGUUCGAUCCUAUUUUGUUGGUUUCUAGGAUUGACGUAAUGAUUAAUAGGGAUAGUUGGGGGCAUUAGUAUUCAAUUGUCAGAGGUGAAAUUCUUGGAUUUAUUGAAGACUAACUACUGCGAAAGCAUUUGCCAAGGAUGUUUUCAUUAAUCAAGAACGAAAGUUAGGGGAUCGAAGACGAUCAGAUACCGUCGUAGUCUUAACCAUAAACUAUGCCGACUAGGGAUCGGAUGAUGUUAAUUUUUUAAUGACUCAUUCGGCGCCUUACG